rnacentral:rRNA from 1 species
CGUAGGGUGCAAGCGUUAAUCGGAAUUACUGGGCGUAAAGCGUGCGCAGGCGGUUGUGUAAGACAGAUGUGAAAUGCCCGGGCUUAACCUGGGAACUGCAUUUGUGACUGCACGGCUAGAGUUUGGCAGAGGGGGGGUAGAAUUCCACGUGUAGCAGUGAAAUGCGUAGAUAUGUGGAGGAAUACCGAUGGCGAAGGCAGCCCCCUGGGUCAAGACUGACGCUCAUGCACGAAAGCGUGGGGAGCAAACAGGAUUAGAUACCCUGGUAGUCCACGCCCUAAACGAUGUCUACUAGUUGUCGGGUCUUAAUUGACUUGGUAACGCAGCUAACGCGUGAAGUUGACCGCCUGGGGAGUACGGUCGCAAGAUUA